GUAGAUGGUCUCCCCGAAGCUGGGCUGGAAAAGCGCCUCCACGCGGGUGAGGCCGCGGUACGAGCCCCUGGAGAAGGCCGGCCAGCCCAGCUCCAGCACGGGCGGCUCCACGUCCGACUGCUCGGGGAAGUAGAGUGAACCAUAUCAGAGGAAUGUUUGAAACAGCAAGAAUAAACCCAGGGUCUCUUCCACAGCACUGUUCUUUCCCCCAAAAGAAGUCUAGUGUCUAAAGAAUACGCUACAUCUUGAUAACUUUGACUUCUUCCAGGAGAAAGACACACAAACGGGAAACAAACUGUACUGGAGAAAACAAUGGAACUGGCUACAGACAAAGUGCUAUCAGUUACCACAUUUGAAAGAAAUGGUUUUUCCUGUAUUUUUCCUACUUAAUUAUUUGUAACAGUAGGUAACAUCUUCACACAAGUGUAAUUAAGAUGAUGGCAUCCACUUGUUGCAACCUAAAAAUUUAGAUUACAUG